rnacentral:rRNA from 1 species
UGGGGGAUAUUGCACAAUGGAGGAAACUCUGAUGCAGCGACGCCGCGUGAGGGAAGAAGGUCUUCGGAUUGUAAAGCUCUGUCUUCUGGGACGAUAAUGACGGUACCAGAGGAGGAAGCCACGGCUAACUACGUGCCAGCAGCCGCGGUAAUACGUAGGUGGCAAGCGUUGUCCGGAUUUACUGGGCGUAAAGGAUGCGUAGGCGGAUACUUAAGUCAGAUGUGAAAAUCCCGGGCUUAACUUGGGAACUGCAUUUGAAACUGGGUAUCUAGAGUGCGGGAGAGGAAAGUGGAAUUCCUAGUGUAGCGGUGAAAUGCGUAGAGAUUAGGAAGAACACCAGUGGCGAAGGCGACUUUCUGGACCGUAACUGACGCUGAGGCAUGAAAGCGUGGGGAGCAAACA